GACGAACGCUGGCGGCGUGCUUAACACAUGCAAGUCGAGGGCACUAUUGGGGCAACCUGGUAGUGACCGGCGAACGGGUGCGUAACACGUGAGCGACCUUGCCUCGUGGUGGGGGAUAGCCGGCCCAACGGCCGGGUAAUACCGCAUAUGGUAGUUUCUUCGCAUGAGGAGACUAGCAAAGCCUUGGAGCAAUCCAAUGGCGCCACAGGGGGGGC
rnacentral:rRNA from 1 species